CCUACGGGAGGCAGCAGUGGGGGAUAUUGCACAAUGGGGGAAACCCUGAUGCAGCGACGCCGCGUGUGGGAAGACGGUCCCCUGGAUUGUAAACCACUGUCCUCAGGGACGAAGAUGACGGUACCUGGGGUGGAAGCUCCGGCUAACUACGUGCCAGCAGGCGCGGUAAUACGUAGGGAGCGAGCGUUGUCCGGAAUUACUGGGUGUAAAGGGAGCGUAGGCGGGGAUGCAAGUUGGGUGUCAAAACUACCGGCUCAACUGGUAGUCGCACUCAAAACCGCAGCUCUUGAGUGAAGUAGAGGCAGGCGGAAUUCCUAGUGUAGCGGUGAAAUGCGUAGAUAUUAGGAGGAACACCAGUGGCGAAGGCAGCCUGCUGGGCUUUUACUGACGCUGAGGCUCGAAAGUGUGGGGAGCGAACAGGAUUAGAUACCCUAGUAGUC
rnacentral:rRNA from 1 species